CAUUUACAUACAGAAGUGCCGGUACGCCCCGUUCUUUCCAGCUAUUUUUCAGAAGGCUCCAUGCGGACACAGGAACUCAGACAACUCUGUGGCACCCCUCUCCACUCUUCCCUGGAUGCUGCAAAUCAGAAGUCUACAUAGAGAUUUUUCCAGACGUUUGGAGAAUCAUUAUCUAGUGGGAGAAAAGGCUUCCCUGCAUUCCACAUUAUAAGAAAGAUACUGUCUUGACCUGAAAUUGACCUUCAUGCGUACAAGCUUAGCAAAAUAGUUAUUGUACAGGAACUGAAAACAGCACAACUUAGCAAAACAAAACCAAGCAAGCACAAAGAAACAAUCUUGGGAGCAAACAAAUUCAGCUCCAGACAGAUGGGCCUGAACCCAAACCCUGGAUAACCAGAAUGUGCAAUGUCUUGAAAACUGAACAUGAAUUACAAUUUCCAAGUAACACUCAUUAACACCAAAUCCCAAUGUACAGAUGCUGAAUUUGUUUAAUAUCUAAAACCAGAUCGAAACAUCAUUGUUUCACCAUAUUUACUUUAAUACUUCUUUAAAAU